AGCGCCUGUUGACAAUGGAGGGGCCGGCGGACGGGCUUGGCACUGCAGGCCGCGCAUCCUAUGCCUCCGAACCCCCGGCGGUGCCCGGGCCUCCUGCCCCCGCGCAGCGCUUGUAUCGGAAACGUGUGGCCUGAGCCCAGUGACCAGGAAACCGAGAAGCGCAUCCAGAAUCCAGACCGCUGGUGCUUUGUACAUCACCGGCCGGAGGCGGCAGAGGGAUCACAAGCAGCCCCGACGGCCGGGGGAUUCCAGGGACACGUCACGGCCAAGACAACAUAUGGACAAUGGCAAGCUCUUGGGAGAAUGCCUUUUUUGGAAAGCUGAACGCUGGAGUGUCUGAGGGAGAUGCAUCUUGAGAUAUUGGAGUGAAUUGUCACAAUGUCUGCAACUUACUUUGACAUGGCCAAAUGUUUGGAUUCUGGUUGGUGGGCACCUGAGUGUUCCUUGUGUCAUUCUUUCACCUUCUCUAGGUUGUACUCUUUUUACAAUAAAAAGUUGAGAAAGCAA